rnacentral:rRNA from 1 species
AUAACGUUCUGAAAAGAAACGCUAAUACCGCAUAACAUCAAUUUAUCGCAUGAUAGGUUGAUCAAAGGAGCAAUCCGCUGGAAGAUGGACUCGCGUCCGAUUAGCUAGUUGGUGAGGUAACGGCCCACCAAGGCAACGAUCGGUAGCCGGACUGAGAGGUUGAACGGCCACAUUGGGACUGAGACACGGCCCAGACUCCUACGGGAGGCAGCAUG